GAGAGAAAGAAAGAAGAAAGGAAAAGGAAGAAGAAGAAGAAGAAGAAGAAAAAAGAAAGGAAAUUGACCGUAAAGCUUCAUCGGAGCUGGGCUUGGUAUUUUGAGUCUGGAUUAAUGAUCAACUCACUGGGAUCUUCGAUUUGAGGAUUUGAAAGGAGUGUUGGUGAAGAUCUAAAGUAUUUGAAGCUAUUAAGCUAAAGAAGUAAAAUUUGGGGUUUCAUUGGUGUUCUUGAGAAAGAGGUUACACUCAUUAUACAUAUACCCACACAUCGGAUCUCUUACGUGCCGGGUACAAACACUGUGUACAUAUACAUGUGAUUUUACAGGUUACCUGCCUGGAGAUCAGGAGCCGGGCUCCACUGUGGAGUUUUUCUCUGAGGACUGGUGGGUCCUUAAUGAGUUCGAGCACGAUGCCGAUUGCACGUGUGUGGAUUGUGCUAUAUAGUACCAGUGACUCCUGAGUAAUUCUUUUUUUUUAUUCUUUUUGAUGUAUUCCCUUUUGAUUACUUGAUGCUUAAAUUGUCAUAUUUUUGUGUAUAUAUCAUGCCUUC